GACGUAGGGCGCGAGCGUUGUCCGGAUUUAUUGGGCGUAAAGAGCUCGUAGGCGGCUUGUCGCGUCGUCCGUGAAAACCCACAGCUCAACUGUGGGCUUGCGGUCGAUACGGGCAGGCUAGAGUUCGGUAGGGGAGACUGGAAUUCCUGGUGUAGCGGUGAAAUGCGCAGAUAUCAGGAGGAACACCGGUGGGCGAAGGCGGGUCUCU
rnacentral:rRNA from 1 species